rnacentral:rRNA from 1 species
UACGUAGGUGGCAAGCGUUGUCCGGAUUUACUGGGUGUAAAGGGCGUGUAGGCGGAGAAGCAAGUUGGGAGUGAAAUCUAUGGGCUCAACCCAUAAACUGCUCUCAAAACUGUUUCCCUUGAGUAUCGGAGAGGCAAGCGGAAUUCCUAGUGUAGCGGUGAAAUGCGUAGAUAUUAGGAGGAACACCAGUGGCGAAGGCGGCUUGCUGGACAUUAACUGACGCUGAGGCGCGAAAGCGUGGGGAGCAAACAGG